CCUACGGGGGCUGCAGUGGGGAAUAUUGGACAAUGGGGGCAACCCUGAUCCAGCCAUGCCGCGUGUGUGAAGAAGGCCCUCGGGUUGUAAAGCACUUUCAGUGAGGAAGAACGCCUGGUGGUUAAUACCCAUCAGGAAAGACAUCACUCACAGAAGAAGCACCGACUAACUCCGUGCCAGCAGCCGCGGUAAUACGGAGGGUGCGAGCGUUAAUCGGAAUUACUGGGCGUAAAGCGCGCGUAGGUGGCUUGAUAAGCCGGUUGUGAAAGCCCCGGGCUCAACCUGGGAACGGCAUCCGGAACUGUCAAGCUAGAGUGCAGGAGAGGAAGGUAGAAUUCCCGGUGUAGCGGUGAAAUGCGUAGAGAUCGGGAGGAAUACCAGUGGCGAAGGCGGCCUUCUGGACUGACACUGACACUGAGGUGCGAAAGCGUGGGUAGCAAACAGGAUUAGAUACCCCGGUAGUC
rnacentral:rRNA from 1 species